rnacentral:rRNA from 1 species
AUUGAACGCUCGCGGCAGGCCUAACACAUGCAAGUCGAACGAGUGGCGGACGGGUGAGUAAUGUCUGGGAAACUGCCCGAUGGAGGGGGAUAACUACUGGAAACGGUAGCUAAUACCGCAUACCAUCGGAUGUGCCCAGAUGGGAUGAGCUAGUAGGUGGGGUAACGGGUCACCUAGGCGACGAUCCCUAUCUGGUCUGAGAGGAUGACCAGCCACACUGGAACUGCGACACGGUCGAGACACAUACGGGAGGGAGCAGUGGGGAAUAUUGCACACGGGGCGCAAGCCUGAUGCAGCCACGCCGCGUGUAUGAAGAAGGCCCUCGGGUUGUAAAGUCCUUUCGGCGGGGUGGCGUGAUUGCCAGAAGAAGCACCGGCUAACUCCGUGCCAGCAGCCGCGGUAAUAC